GAGGAGAGUAUCCUAAGGCCAGCGAGAGAACUGUUGUUAAGGAACUCGGCAAAAUGACCCCGUAACUUAGGGAUAAGGGGUGCCACCAUCAGGUGGCCGCAGAGAAUAGGCCCAAGCGACUGUUUACCAAAAACAUAGGGUUCUGCUAAGUCGCAAGACGAUGUAUAGGAGCUGACGCCUGCCCGGUGCUGGAAGGUUAAGGGGAUCUGUUAGAGCAAUCGAAGCAGUGAACUUAAGCCCCAGUAAACGGCGGCCGUAACUAUAACGGUCCUAAGGUAGCGAAAUUCCUUGUUGGGUAAGUUCCGACCCGCACGAAAGGCGUAACGAUUUGGGCACUGUCUCAACAACAGACUCGGUGAAAUUGUAAUUCCGGUGAAGAUGCCGGAUACCUGCGACAGGACGGAAAGACC
rnacentral:rRNA from 1 species